CAGAAGGGGAAAGACUACUCCAGGCCGUUCAGAGACUGAAUCUCCCCGUCCCGGCAUGCAUCGUUCCUGUGGCGCCGCUGCGCGGGCGUGGCCGCACUGCAUGCUGGGAGGCGUAGUCCCUGCUGCACCCACCCGACCCGCGGCCCGUGGGGACGAACGGUCACCUGUCUUCCCGUCCCCCUAAAGAUGAGGGGCGCUCUCUGUGUCUGUUGUGCCACCUCGGUCUCUAGCGCGGCGGUGGAAGAUUUCCGGCCCAUGUUCCUGGCGAUUUUGAGCCUUGAAUCGGCAGAGUUGUGUCUUCUUGGCUGGAACUAGACAAGGAGCUUCACAGUGCAUCAAUUCCAAGAAAGGGAAACUGCAUCCAUUUCAGAAGGAUUGAAUGGGACUUUGGCUCACCUAAGAUCCCACAGAAAGCAACUGUAGAAUAUUACUAUAACUCUAUUCUGAGACUUCUUUCAAUCUGAUCUUUUGAGACUGUGAUGGUGAUGAGGAGACUGAAGACAUGAACUUCUGAGGACACAUUGAAUGUGAUUGCUGUUGUCAUCAAUUUGGGGAACUUUAUGAAAUGGAUACUAUUAUUAUCCUCUUUUUAUAUGUAUAAUUGAGAAAAAGCAAGGCCUGGAUGAUGAACUCACUCGUGGUCAGUCACUUGGCUGAUUCCUCAACCUCGCUGUUGUGAAUUGACUUGUGUCCUCCCAAAAGCUAUGUUGAAGUUCUAACCCGGGUACCUGUGAAUGUGGCCGUGUUUGGAAAUAGGGUCUUUGCAGAUGUUAGUUAUCAAGAGGCAGAGGAUGUCAAGAAGUGCUAGCAGCCAUCAGCAAUGAGGAGAGAUGCGUGGAACGGACUCUCCCUCAGAGGCUUCACAAGGAACCAGUCCUGUCGACACAUGGAGAGAAUUCGUGGCUGAAUUCUAGCUUCCAGAACUGAUAACUUGUGAGAAGCAAAUUGAUAUAACAGAUUAAAUGUUGAAUGGCUAUUUUCAACGCUACUAUGGUGUGCAUCCAGGAAAUUUCUGAGAUGAACUAGCUGGAUUUAAAAAAUAUUGGAAGAGUAGAAUAAAUCCCAGACAACUUCAUGGCAAGAGGACAUGGAUACCAAACAAAUGUUUCUCUAUUCCAGGUUCUUAUGAAGAUAAGGUUCUUAAAUCUGGCAAAGAUGAGACAGUUUGAUUUUGGUGAAGUGCAUAGUAUCAAGAUAACUCCGUUGAUCUCUCAAAAGAUUUGGUCAGUCACAGAUUAUGGAAAAAACUGAAACACAACACUAAACUCACACACACACACACACGCACACACAUAUCUGAGAGUAGCAUGUGUGCAGUCAUAUAUAAAGAAAUCAAAUAUCCAGUAACUUCAGAUUUCUAAUAUUUCUAUUAAGAAACAUGGGCCCUUUUCAAGAAUUUAACCACAAAAAAACUAGUUGGAACUGACUGAAAAAUCCCUUCACCCCAAUCUCUUGUAUAUGUGCCUGUUUUCUAGGACUCAAUUCACUUGUCUCCUCUCCAGUCUCUCCUGCUACCCUGCAUUUCAGCACACCAGGCUUCUCUCUUCUUUCUCUGGCCUUCCUUUGAAGAGGAAAUGGUCCCCUAAGGGUAUGACCUCAUUUAUUCAGUUCCCAGAACUCUCCCUCAGAUUGCUCUAAGCUAGGUCUUUUGCAUUAAAGAAUGUAAAUGUGCACAUCAGGCACCUCAAGGUGGGAGUCCUGCAUGGGUCUGUAGCCCCUGAAAAGAAAAGAAAUUAAAACAAAAUUCUGUCCUUGCUCUUUCUCAAGUAGUUGUUGGUAUCUCCCCUAUGCUCCUUUCACAGCUUAACUUGCACAACUGCUUUGUUUGUACUUAAAAACCCAAUCAGGAACAUUAAGUGGUUCCUGAUUGAAUUUUUUAUUAAAGAAGGAAAUUGAGAUGCUAAUCAGGCCUUGGGGGAAUCACUGGGGAAACCCACAUGCUUAAUCUUGUUUGCAGGAAGGGAAAGUAGAAUAGACCCCAGCAGAAAACAUUUUGAAAGGGAAUUUUUAAAAAUCAACAUCCAGGAAGUUAGAGAAAUAUUUUUUAAAGAAAGGCCUAUUGUUUUCUCCAAAUGUUUCCUAAAAUUUUGAAGUGAGCAUUAAAAAAAAAAAAAUUAACCCAUCAAUUUGGAGACAAACAAGAAUGAGAUUGCUAGCUUAGAACUGCGACAAGCUUUCUGAUAGAAACAUUAGGAAAUACAUGGUUUUGUGUUUUAUUUCCCUGAACUCUUACGUUUCUGCACUUUUCAACAGAAGCUCACAUCCAGAAAAUAAAAUAAUAUUUACACUAGUGACUGAGAAGACCACCUACAAGCAGCUAUUGGGCCUCCCAGGUUGGCCUAAAAUAUCAAGGCAGAAAUUUUUUUCCUUGCAAGUACUUUGCCCUGUCACUUUCCUGUCCCCUGGGGCUACUGCUCCUUGAGUUCUUGACAUGCUUUUUACUGGGGUUUCUGAAGGUGCUGGCACAUCAUACCUCACCCCAUUCCCUUUCUGGUCUUCUCUAGUUUUCUCUCAGUCCUCCUAACUUCCUCACACUCUCCACCUCCUUCCAUCCCUAUUACAGGAGCCUCCCCGAGUACUACACUUUUCCCCAAUACCUGGAAGAGCCUCCUACCUCUUCCCUGCAGUCUACUCACCAACUCUCCCAGAAGGGAGACCUUCCCGUAUGGGAAAGGGGAGGGGGUAAGAUGAACAGUGGGCAGAGAUGCGGAAAGAAGCUAGUCAACCACGCAAAUUCUUCACAAUUAUCCUGCUUUCUGUGACUUUUUGUAACUUCAAAUAUGUCACACUGAAAUUUAAACCAAAGCACAAUUGUGGAAUACUCUAUAGGAAAACUGCCUGAUCUACAUUGGACAGUGUGAGCAAGAAAUAAGCCUUUAUUUGUGUUGAACGACUGAAAUUUCAGAAUGUAUUUGUUACUGAACCAAGGCCUAGCCUAUCCUUGACUAAUACAAAAAUUGGUACGGAAGUGAGGUGUUGCUAUUAAAAGAGAAAAGAAGAGAAAGAGAGAAAAAGACCCUAAAACAUGUGUCAUCAGCUUGGGGGCCAGGUAUGAAGAUAAUGAGGAGGCUAUAAGGAUGAGAAUCCAUGGCAAAAUAAUUUGUACAAUUAUAACUAAAAGCUAACAAUGUUCUGAAUAAACUUACAGUCUUGGGAGAUGAGAUUAGAAAACAAAAUGUACAUAAAAUGUGAUGAUUGCCAUUGACUGUUUUGCUAGGAAUCACAGGAAGUGAGUUUAGAAAAGGAGGAACGGGCUUAUAACCAGGAAUGAAAGGGAAUAGAAACAGUCACAAAUUCAGGGACUUGUAGGGAUGGAAGACAAAAUUACUUCUCAAUUCCAAACUGUGAAAAUGAAAAUUAUGAUACACUUUGACGAAGUUUGAUUAAGACUCAGCUUUGUAACAAGAAUCAAAUCAAAGGUACUGCCAAAACACCUAGGGUUAGAUUCUGAAGGAAUUUAUAGUUUGCAGCAUAUCCUUUUAACUGGACAAAAAUGGCACAACGAAAUGAUUUACCUAUACGGUUCUCUCACUGAAGGCUGUUAGGCCCAAGGCACUAGGAAUUAAGUCAGAAAUGAAUAAAUAUAUUUGCCAUAUUUCUUUAUUCCUAAAUGUAAAGAAGCAAAUAAAUACAGAAAAUCUGGGAUGUUUGUAUGGAAUGUGGAUGUGGUUAUGGGCAAAUGGAAAGGACUAGAAUCAAAGACUUAAAAAGCUGACUAAACGUACAAGAGAGUUUUAGUGCUAAAGAAACCCUAAGCCCAUGAUUACACAAAACAGGUAUUGGAACUUCAACCUUCUUUAGGUGAGAAGAAGGCAGUUUGACCUCCAGAUAAAGCUAAGAAGCGUGAUGGGAAAGGAAUAAUUUCCCAGGGAGGAUUGAAAGGUCGAGGGAAAAAGGAACUGGAGAGCAUCUCUCAGAGAAUCAGGGUCCCCUGCAUGGUAGGGCACCCUCACAGUGAGUACCCAGCGGAAUUCUAGAGUUGCCAUGGACCACUCACCACUCCACAUUGCUAUGAAUAUCACUCAUCUCUUCCCUUUCUGAACAGGAGUGUUAUAAUGGAUAUUUUGUCUUUUCGGUGUAUGUUGGAUGCUGUAUUUUGGGUGUGUGUAGGUCUUUAACCUGUAUCCAGAUCUGUUGUAGAGACUAGCAUGUAUCGCCCAGAGAUCCUGGACUUAAGAGUUUGAUGCCAUGACUGAUGGGACAUUUGGGUUAUCUUUCUUGGAGGAAGGAUGGGUAUAUUUUGUCUGCUGGAGGGAGAAUGAAUCACAUUUUUGGUGAUGAGAAGGGCAAACUCUGGUAGUCACACGCUCACUAUUUCUGGCUUUCUCCUUUCUGAGCAAAUAGAAGGAUGGUACUUCCUGGUUGGGUGGGGUCAUGUGACAAGUUCUGGCUCAUGAAUUGUUGCGGGGAGAAUUUAAUUGCCAGUGCAAGACCUUCCAGGGCCUCUGUCAGAGUAAUCUAGGUAGUGGCUGUUCCUUCAGCCCCAAUACAGAAUAAGGACAAAGUGGCACCUGCCAACCUUAGGUGCCCAUGUUUGUGAGCAAUUUGUUGUUUAAAGCCACUGAGAUUUUUGGUAAAAUGGUAACAUAGCCUAUUCUGUGGAUACACUUGCAUCAUUUAAAAAUGCUGACUGAUGCAUAUGUGAAGGAAACCAUAAAACACUGCUAAGAAUGAAAGCUUUGGAGCCUAACCUGCUAGAAUCUAUACCUAGCUCCACCACCUACAAGCUGUAUAAACUCAGGCUGCUUAUCCUAAGUCUCAUUUUUCCCAUUUGUGAAAUGGGGAUAAUAACUAUAUUAGUUUCCUAAGGCUGCUGUAAAUUACCACAAAGUUAGUGGCCAAAACGACAGGAGUGUAUUCACUCAUAGUUCUGGAGGCCGGGAGUUCUACAUCAGUUCACCGGGCAGAAAUCGAGGUGUCAGCAGGGAUGUGCUCCCUCUGGAGGCUCUUGGAGAGAAUCCGUUCCUUGCCUCUUCCAGUUUUCCUUUGCUCAUGGCUGCAUCACUGCAAUCUCUGCCUUGUUUUCACAUUGCCUUCUCUUCUGAAUGUGUAAUUUUCCCCUGCUCCCUCUUAUAAGGACACUUGUUAUUGGAUUUAGGGCACACCUGGAUAAUCCAAGAUCAGUCUGCAGUUGAGAUUCUUAAUCAUAUUUGCAAGGAUACUCUUUCUUUUGAAGGUAAUAUUUACAGGUUCCAGGGAUUAGGACCUGAUACCUUUGGGUGGCCAUUAUUCAGCUGAGUACAAUUUUAAGGAUUAAAUGAGAUAAUAUACAUAAAACAAUCAAUAAAUAUUAGUUAUUUAUUGAUAUGGAAAUGUAUCUUAUUUUCCCUAAAAUGUGAAGUCUUUAGAUGCCAAGUUACUGUUUUCGACCUCACACAGUAGGUGCAUAAUAAAACGUACAUAAUGAUUAACCUCUAAAUACUAUCAGCAAUCCACGAUCUUAAGUUGGGUAGUUACUUAAAUUGAAAACUGUUCUUAUAGAACUAAUGCUUUGUGGCAGAGAAAUCAGAUAGGUGGUAAAAGCAUGGUUUGUUUUUCUGCAAAUUAAAUUGGAUACUGCAUAUUUUGACCACAGAGCUUUCUGAUAUCUAAAUAAUAUUUAAAAAGAAAAAUAUCAUUUCCUUUUUGCCUCCUUUUAUUUUCAGAUAUAAAAAAACAAGACCUUGUGCUAAGACAUGAUUAUCUUGCCAAAAAUCCUAUCUUUGAAACUCUUGCCUUAAUGGUCAAUGUAUUAUUCAGAUUUAGCACAUUAAAAAUAUCUUACAGGGUUGGAAAUAUUAUUGCUUAGUGAAAGCACGAUAAAAAAAAAAAAAGGCUGUGCGGUAAACUAUGUCGUGCCUAAGCCUCCUGCUAUUUUUUACACCAUGUUAAUACUGAUGCAAAUUGACUAGGGUUUCAGUGCCUGGUAGUCUGGGCUCUGGGAAUAUUGUGUCCCCCUUACCGCCCCCCCAGUCCCUCCUCUGCUGAGCCCUGCCAUUAAUCACCACUUGCCUGUCUCGAGAUCUCCCACGGUUUGGUCACGGCUCCAAGGUCACAGGCUGUCAUUAACAUUGAUCUGAAAAACAGAACCAAACAAAACAGCCUGAAUAAUCUUUUGUUGCAUUCCUAAACAAACCCGUCCUAGAUACAUAAAUAAAUAAAAUAAAAUGGAAA